rnacentral:rRNA from 1 species
CCCUUAGAUGCUCUGGGCCGCACGCGCGCUACACUGGUCGAUGCAACGAGUUUCUUUCCUUGGCCGACAGGCCUGGGCAAUCUUUGAACAUCGAUCGUGAUCGGGAUAGAUUCUUGUAAUUUUUGAUCUUAAACGAGGAAUUCCUAGUAAACGCAAGUCAUCAGCUUGCAUUGAUUACGACCCUGCCCUUUGUACACACCGCCCGUCGCACCUACCGAUUGAAUGGUCCGGUGAAAUCUCCGGACUGGCGUGAGUCGGAGCAAUCUGACAAACACCGGAAAGUUGAUUAAACCUUACCAUUUAGAGGAAGGUGAAGUCGUAACA